AACGAACGCUGGCGGCAUGCCUAACACAUGCCAGUCGAACGAGACCUUCGGGUCUAGUGGCGCACGGGUGCGUAACGCGUGGGAACCUGCCCUUAGGUUCGGAAUAACUCCCCGACAGGGGUGCUAAUACCGGAUAAUGUCUUCGGACCAAAGAUUUAUCGCCUUUGGAUGGGCCCGCGUUGGAUUAGCUAGUUGGUAGGGUAAAAGCCUACCAAGGCGACGAUCCAUAGCUGGUCUGAGAGGAUGCUCAGCCACACUGGGACUGGGACACGGCCCAGACUCCUACGGGAGGCAGCAGUGGGGAAUAUUGGACAAUGGGCGAAGGCCUGAUCCAGCAAUGCCGGGUGAGUGAUGAAGGCCUUAGGGUUGUAAAGCUCUUUUACCCGGGAUGAUAAUGACAGUACCGGGAGAAUAAGCACCGGCUAACUCCGUG
rnacentral:rRNA from 1 species